rnacentral:misc_RNA from 1 species
UUAAGUUCAGCGGGUAUCCCUACCUGAUCCGAGGUCAAAACAUAAAGAAUGGGGGGUUGUCCGGCGGGCAGCGCCUACAACCGCAGCGAGAAAUCUGACUACGCUGGGAUGUCGGCACCACCGCCCACGGGUUUCGGGCACGUCCGUCAGGACGACGCCCAGUACCAAGCAGAAGCUUGAGGUUUGAAAUGACGCUCGAACAGGCAUGCCCCUCGGAAUACCAAAGGGCGCAAUGUGCGUUCAAAGAUUCGAUGAUUCACUGAAUUCUGCAAUUCACAUUACUUAUCGCAUUUCGCUGCGUUCUUCAUCGAUGCCAGAACCAAGAGAUCCGUUGUUAAAAGUUUUGAUUAUUUGCUUGUACCACUCAGAAGAAACGUCGUUAAAUCAGAGUUUGGUUAUCCUCCGGCGGGCGCCGACCCGCCCGGAGGCGGGAGGCCGGGAGGGUCGCGGAGACCCUACCCGCCGAAGCAACAGUUAUAGGUAUGUUCACAAAGGGUUAUAGAGCGUAAACUCAGUAAUGAUCCCU